rnacentral:rRNA from 1 species
CCGUAUGCGCCCUUCGGGGGAAAGAUUUGUCGGACAUGGAUGAGCCCGCGUUGGAUUAUCUGCUUGGUGGGGUGGAGGCCUACCCUGGCGACUAUCCGUAGCUGGUCUGACAGGAUGAUCAGCCACCCUGGGACUGACACACGGCCCAGACUCCUACCGGAGGCACCGAUGGGGAAUAUUGAACCAUGGGCGCAGGCCUGAUCCAGCCUUGCCGCGUGUGUGAUGAAGGCCCUAGGGUUGUCACGCACUUUCGCCGGACAACAUUAUGACUGUAUCCCGAUAACAAUCCCCGGCUAACUUCGUGCCCGCAGCCUCGGUAAUACGAACGGGGCUAGCGUUGUUCGGAUUUACUGGGCGUACAGCGCACGUAGGCGGACUAUUAAGUCAUGGGUGAAAUCCCGGGGCUCAGCCCCGGAACUGCCUUUGAUACUGGUAGUCUUGAUUUCCACAGAGGUGACUGGAAUUCCGAGUGUACAGGUGAGAUUCAUAGAUGUUCGGAGGACCACCAGUGGCGAAGGCGGCUCACUGUCUCGAUACUGACGCU